UUUACAGGUUCCAUGUCCUCCUUAGUGCUGGCUGUCAGAAGGCUCCCUGCAGCACAGCUGCUUUAUCCCUGCUCCUGCUGAACCCCUACAAUGACAGACUUGGAGAUGGGAGAAUGGCUCAGCCACUGAGAUGACUCUGCCAAUUCUUUCUUUCUACCCUAUAGCUUUCUGAAGAACAGAAAUGGUGCCAUUGAGAUCAAGGUCAAAUUCAACAGUGCAGGCAGGCUUUGGUGUUGUGCUGUCCCCCUUGGGACAGUUCUUUCCAACUCAGCUGCAUCAGUGUGCUGAAGAUGUGAAGUCCAAGUGUGUGGAACAGAGGAAAGAGGAGAGAGAACUUCAUGCAGAACAUCUAAGAAGCUUUAGCUUCAAUCAUAUUUCCGUGAAAGCUGCUGCACACAACACAAGCUUCACCUGUAGCGCUUUGGGUUUAUACAGCCACAGUC